rnacentral:tRNA from 1 species
GCCCAGGUGGCGGAAUUGGUAGACGCGCUGGCUUCAGGUGCCAGUUUCCUCACGGAAGUGGAAGUUCGAGUCUUCUCCUGGGCACCA